GCCGCGCGGGUCCCCGCCCCGCCGUCAGCUGUCAGCGCUCCCCGCCGCCAUCCGUCAGUGGCUUGUCAGCCCUGCCAAUCCGCCCUGAUUUAUGUCAGCUUUUGUUGCUGAUUACAAGCCUGGUGUGACUCCAGGGGGAGAGAGAGGGAGGAAGGAAAACAGUGCGGGAGCGAGCGGCUCCGCGGCGGAGAGCAGGAACUCGUCUUUCUGCUGGAAACGGGCGGUGGGGCCGCUGUCCCCUUCCCACCAACGCAGCGGCCGUCUCGGCCCCGACGCCGCACCCGGCCUCGCUGGGGGCCGCCUGCGCCGCUCCGGGGGCGCAGCGUGAGUUGAGCGCUGCCUGCGGCCCUUCUACCGCUCCCCGUGCCGCCCGCUGCUCUCCCCUUUGUACUUCCCGUCCCGCUCUUCCUCGGCUCCUCAUCCCGUAAUGUUUUUAUUUUUUUUUAUUAUUAUUUCUUCUUUUUUUUUUUUUUCCACAGGCAAAACGUGUUAAUCAAUCUUUUACUUUUGUUUCCGGAUCUGACAUGGUGGCCCACACAAUCUACAACAUUAACAAAAAGGUCACUUAGAGAUAAAACACGUUUGACAAGUGAAGAACAAGGCAAGUGCUUCAGGGGUCGCGGCCAAUUCCUGACCUGGACUCCGACCAGAACAGGCGCCGCUCUGGGAGAGGUGGGCGUGGGGAAGGACUUUCCCUGCUCGCUCUCGGCCCGUCCGCACCCCGUCCUUCUCCUUCACCUUCUCCUUCCCCGCACAUCCACCUCCGGGCCCCUUUCGGGGCAGCCCCCAGCGGCCCUCUCCCCACGGGCCGCCUUUCUCCGACCGCCCUCCCCGCCCCCAGAGCGGUGCUCCGUUGGUCCCGUACCCAGCGCGGAGCGUGUCGCCGGAACGUGUCGGUGCGAGGCAGAGACGGGCUUCCAUGUCUCUGUGCCCGCUGUGUUCUUCUGAGGCCGUGACAGUUAUAGGAUCGGGGGGCAGAGAGAGAAGCAUCGCACAAAAGCUGCUGCUGCUGCAGCGGGACUGACAACCCGCACCGUGCCCGUAAGGAACUCCCCCUUCCUUCACACAGAGUGGAAGUGACUUGAAUCUGCCCCAGGUUUUCCCCCCGUUCUUUCUUUUGUUGUCAAGUCCAAUUGAUAAAUGGAGUGCAGUAAAACUCUGGAAGAGAGAGGGAGAAAAAAAAAAAAAA